rfam:Rattus norvegicus chromosome 19, whole genome shotgun sequence.
GGGGAUUUAGCUCAGCGGUAGAGCGCUUGCCUAGCGAGCGCAAGGCCCUGGGUUCAGUUCCCAGCUCCG